UGCAAGUCGAACGGACUUAACCAUUAGUUUACUAUUGGAGCGGUUAGUGGCGGACUGGUGAGUAACACGUAAGCAACCUGCCUAUCAGAGGGGAACAACAGUUAGAAAUGACUGCUAAUACCGCAUAUGCCUAAGUACUACAUGGUACAAUAGGGAAAGGAGCAAUCCGCUGAUAGAUGGGCUUGCGUCUGAUUAGAUAGUUGGUGGGGUAAAGGCCUACCAAGUCGACGAUCAGUAGCCGGACUGAGAGGUUGAACGGCCACAUUGGGACUGAGAUACGGCCCAGACUCCUACGGGAGGCAGCAGUCGGGAAUAUUGCGCAAUGGAGGAAACUCUGACGCAGUGACGCCGCGUGCAGGAAGAAGGUUUUCGGAUUGUAAACUGCUUUAGACAGGGAAGAGACAAGACAGUACCUGUAGAAUAAGCUCCGGCUAACUACGUGCCAGCAGCCGCGGUAAUACGUAGGGAGCGAGCGUUAUCCGGAUUUAUUGGGUGUAAAGGGUGCGUAGACGGGAAAAUAAGUUAGUUGUGAAAUCCCUCGGCUUAACUGAGGAACUGCAACUAAAACUGUUUUUCUUGAGUACUGGAGAGGAAAGUGGAAUUCCUAGUGUAGCGGUGAAAUGCGUAGAUAUUAGGAGGAACACCAGUGGCGAAGGCGACUUUCUGGACAGAAACUGACGUUGAGGCACGAAAGUGUGGGGAGCA
rnacentral:rRNA from 1 species